GGGCAUGAAAACAGGCGAGUUUACUGCAAUGGCAACGAAAUUCAAGUCAGCGUUUUAGGCAGAAAGAGCAUGUAAAACUGUAAAAUAAGUUCACUGGACAACUUUUCUAGCUUAUCUUUUUUCGUUCUCGAGAUAUGUAAAUUAAAUAAAUCUAUGGCAUUAUGCGAGUAAAAUAUUAGUAUAGUCUGGUACUGAUAUAUAUAGAGGAUAUUACACGGCGGCGAUUGUUUUCACCACUCGAAGAUAAGGUUUUCAC